rnacentral:rRNA from 1 species
UAGGGAAUAUUGCGCAAUGGGCGAAAGCCUGACGCAGCAACACCGCGUGGAGGAUGAAGCAUUUCGGUGUGUAAACUCCUGUCGACAGGGAAGAAAUUUGACUGUACCUGUAAAGGAAGCAUCGGCUAACUACGUGCCAGCAGCCGCGGUAAGACGUAGGAUGCAAGCGUUGUCCGGAAUUAUUGGGCGUAAAGAGUUCGUAGGCGGUUUGUUAAGUCUGGUGUUAAAUCCCCAAGCUCAACUUGGGUAUGGCAUUGGAUACUGGCAGGCUAGAGUGCGGUAGAGGUAAUUGGAAUUCCAGGUGUAGCGGUGAAAUGCGUAGAUAUCUGGAGGAACACCAGUGGCGAAAGCGAAUUGCUGGCCCGCAACUGACGCUGAGGAACGAGAGCUAGGGGAGCAAAAGGG